rnacentral:lncRNA from 1 species
GGCGAGGGCUGGUGAGGGAGGGGCUUUGUGGAGCAGCUGGUGCAGCCUUGCUUUCCGAGGGCGGCGUGCAGCCACAGUGCCCGCUGCGGGUGCUGGGGAAUGGCGCCUUACAGGCUGCCCACCUGCCUCCUCAGGGUGGAAGGCGGGGCUUGGGUGUGAGCGUGCUGAAUCAGAACUUUCCUGGAAAGUCGCCACUUGGUGUGGUCAGAGGAUCACUGAAGUAAAGCCCACAAAGCGUGGACGGCCACCCAGCCUUCCCAGUUUACAUGAUCAUGGGGAGAGCCUGUCAAAAGCAACUGCACAGAGCCUGUGCUUAAGAUGGCAGGAUCGCAAGACAGAGCAACUGGAGCAAGUCCUCAUUAAGAAGAGCCGCCCGAUGCAUUUGGACUGCGAUGUGUUACGCCCAUGAGAUUUCAGGGUUAAUUUGUUACCUGGCCGUGGCCUAUCCUCUUCCAGCAGAUACAGAGGCUACUGCAGUUUGCAACUUUGCAGAUACCAGCAGAGGAAGAAAAACCUGGGAGACUGCUGCUAACCUAAUGUGGAGACUUGACUUAAACUUCAGCCAGACAAAGGCGGAAUCUUAAUAUGGAGGGGCCUGGCUCUGCAGGGAGGUCACCUGGGCUGGCUGGAUUUCAAUCCAGUUACACAGCAAAAAAGUUACAACCCAAGCUUUGGCGAUGCUGAGCCUUCUACUCUCAGGGAUUCCAAAGCAUUUGAUAAACUCUUUCUUUGUUCCAUUGUUUACUGACUUCCUAGUGCUUGUCUUGUUCUGCAGUUAUUUAUUUAUUUUUAUUUAUUAGUUUUUACUUAUGAUCUACCCCUCUCUCCCAUCUCCCCGCAACCUGAAGGUAAGGUGCAGGAAGUUAUGGCCUUUGCUUUGUAUGCCAUUACAUUCCCCCUCCCCAGGGAAGGGGUUAGCAUGAUGGUAGGAACUGUUCCCUCUUGGUGACAGAUAAGUGACUGGAGCAGAAUCCACUUCUGCUGAGAAGCUCUGGAUGACCACGGAUAAGCAGGAAGGCAUGUGACAUAUUGGCAAGUGAGUCAGACAGAAAGAGAGACGUGGGAUCGAGUCCUGGCAUUGCCCUUUCUAGCUAUUGUGUCCUUGGACAGGUUUCCAUGGUACUUUGCAGCCAUUAGUCGAAGGCUGCCUUCAAUUAGCACACAUACAUACCAUGUGAAGGUUGCUGGUCUAGCCACAGGCCAGAUCCACUACAAAUCAAAGCCCAGGAUUCUUUCUUUGAGAAAAUGGAGAGAAGAAGUCAACCUUCCCCAUCCUCAUGCUUUUACUGCCGACUGCACCUGAUACCACCCCCACUCAAGAGAACUCUGAAGAGACUCAAAUACAUCAGGGAGCUGGAGUCAGUGGGUGGGUGCUGAUAAUGUGUUUAUCUUCCCCAGUGGAAACUACACGAGUCAAUCAGACGUCUGACCUUUUCCUUUACCGAAAAGUUACGGGAAGGAAAUGUGAGUCAGAGACUCCUUUUACAGAUACACUGCUUCCUGACUGUCUGGGCAAAGGAGCUGGCCUGGGCUGGCCUCUGAGAUGUCAGCUUUUGGGGCAGUGAGCAAGUGUGUACCUGUCGCUCCUGUGACUCCAGCCGUCACACGCAGAAGGACAGAAUCUACAUCAUUAAUCAUUUGGCAGAGCAGAAAUAGAGUCAUUGAAACAGGCUCCGCUGUGGGAUAAUAGUCCAGAAAUGUCACCAUUUAUCUACUGAGAGGACACUUUUAUCCUCUGACAACGGGCUAGCCCACCGACAUUAUAUCUUAAUUAAAAGAAAAAUUAAUCGGCACAAUUCAUUUUCUUGCCAGCCCCAGUGCUUGCCCUGGACUGCAAAACAUGUCUAGUAGCAACAAUAACCACAGGGUGGGCAGAGACCUUUGAGAUCCCAGUCUUGGAGAGAGAAUGUUAAAGAGCUCCAGUCCCAGGGCAACCAACUCAUCAAACAAAUGCUUAAAAGAGAGAAUCAGGAUGGAACAAGAAAAUAUGAAGUCUAGUGGUGAGCCAGGAGAAUAAAUGGCCUUUGAGAAGAUAACUAUGUGUUUUGGGUUGGUGGGGAGAGGUGGUGAUGGAAGGGUAAGAGGUAGGGAGAGAGUAUGUGGGGGGCGGGUGGAAAUGGACAUUUUCAGAUAACUAUGUAGACAGUUCAAAUAUCUAGACAUUUGGCUGGGUGUAGAUGACAUUCUGUUCUAUCUGAUUAAGUCAUUUUCUACAAGAUUGACCUCUUAUAGUUUGCUGUGGACACUUGAAUAAAAUAGAA